GGAGAAGCAGGCUCCAUGCACCGGGAGCCCGACGUGGGAUUCGAUCCCAGGUCUCCAGGAUCGCGCCCUGGGCUGAAGGCAGGCGCUAAACCGCUGCGCCACCCAGGGAUCCCGGUUAUUCAUAUUUUAUGCAUAUUAUUCUAGGAAACCUAGAAGAAGUAGAUGAAAGUAAAGAGAAUUCACAGGUACACCUAUGGAGUCAUACAAGAAGGUCGUGAUUAGUAUAGAGAAUUGAUCACAACAAUGGAAUUAACUUAAGUAACUAGAUUGAACCUUAAGGAGAUCUCCUAUGAAAUCCUUCCAUCGGUGAAAAAAAAAAAAAGAAAAAAGAAAAAAAGAAAUCCUUCCAUCAUCAGCUUUUAACACAGAGAAAGCUAGGUGAAGAGAAUUCUGGGAUUUAAAAUCUAGUUUCUCCUUUGUGAGGCAGGAGAGAUCUUAGAAUGGCAUGAUGGUGAUGCUUCAUUGAUAACAAAAAAUUCAGCAUGUAAAUAAAACUGUAUGAUCCUAUUGCUAGAUACAGAAAAAGUGUGGAUAAAUAUUAAUAUCCAUUCACAGAGUAAAAGAAAAACCCUUAGUCAAUAUGGAGAAGAAGAAACCUCAAAAAUACAGCUAUCCAUCAGAAUUCAUAGCAGACAUUAUUCUUAACAAUGAAAAAGUAGAAGCUCUCAAAUAAGGAACAAGGAGUAUUCACUGUCAUAAUAAAUGCCGUCGUGGACCAGUGAGCAAAUCUAAAUAUCUGUGAAUUCCAGGAGUUAUCGGUCUACUCAACAUUUUCACCUGGAUGGUUAAUGGCUAUCUGGUAUUUAACAUGUGAAAAAUAAAACUUUUAAUUUUCCCCUAACCCUGUACCUUCCACUGCUCUGGUUCUCUAUUGCUGUCUAAUAAGUCAUGCCAACACUUAGAGGCUUAAAAUUACAUUUAUUUAUUUACUUGUUUUCCGAUGGCUUUGAGGAUUGACUAGGUUCGGAUGGAUAUUUUCACUCAAAAACUUGCAUGUGGUUUGAGAAAGAUGGUGCCUGAGGAGGAGACAUUUGAAGGCUUUUUCUUAUGUAUAUUUGUGGCACCUGAGAUGGAAUAGUUUUCAUCCUUGGGCUCUUUCCAUAUCUUCUCUCUAUAUGGCUUCCUUAUAUUAAAGAGGUUUCUGUAUAGUGAGACAUCUUACAAGAUGACUGGCAACUUCCAGGUAAGUGUCCUAAGAGACUUAGGUGGAAACUGCAAGAUCUCUUAUGAUCUCAGCUAAGAAUUCCCAAGCACCACUUCCAUUACACUUUAACAUUCAAUCAAGUCCAUCAAGAGACUUUCCAAAUUCAAGGGAAGGAGGCUUACAAUCCAUCUCUCAAGAGUAGUGAUAACAAAGUAUUUGUUUCAUAUUAAAUCUAUUUCACCCACCGUCUUUUCCAUUUUGAUAUAUAGUGACUCCAGGCAAAUCCAGAUGUCCUUUGUCAUUUUAUCCUCAUACACUUUACUAUUUUUUUUAAUUUCUAGUAUCAUUAACAUACAGUGUUAGAUUACUUUCAGGUGUAUAAUAAUGAUUCAACAAUUCUAUACAUUGCUCAGUGUUCAUCAUGGUAAAUCAUACACUUUACUUUGAACCCACCAAUUAAACCUAUUGAGUUUACCUUUUUCUUUUUUUAAAGAUUUUAUUUAUUUAUUCAUGAGAGACACAGAUAGAGACAUAGGCAGAGGGGGAAGCAGACUCCUCACAGGGAGGUGGGUGUGGGACUCCAUCCUGCGACCUGAGAACCCGCCCUAAACCGAAGGCAGACACUCCACCACUGAGCUACCCAGGCGUCCCUAUUCAGUUUACCUUUGAAAUAGACCCAUUCCGACCAUUUUCAGCUCUUCUAAUACUAACACCUUGGUCCAAGCAACCAUAUUUUGCCCAGAUUAUAAUAGCCUAAACAUAAAUCAUCAUUAUGUAAUCUAUGUAGUCCACCCAACAGAGAUAUUCUUCCGAAAUUUAAUUAUAUCUAAUACCUAAAUAACUUCUAUGGCUUUCCAUCUUAGAGGAAUGCCGAAGUUCUUAAAUAGAUAUAACAUCCCAAAUUAUCUAGAUGCUUGAUCGUUUACUGAACUAUCCACUGUUUCCCUUGCCUAUGAGGCUCUACCCAUAUGUACUUUUUUGUAUUUCCUAAAGCACACUAACCCAUUCUCAACUUAGAGCCUUUUGCACUUGUCUCUGCCCAAGAGUCUUAUUCCAGAUGUCUUUACAACUUUCAAGUCUCUAUAUAUUACCUUACUGUACUUUAGUCUUCCAGACUCGUUAAUCGGAUAAAAAGUCUAAUACAUACUGAACACUGCAUAUGUAUACAUUGAAAUCCUUUACUCUGAAAAAAAAAAGAUUUAAAAACAUACAAUAAAAAUAUAAUUAAUUGACCCAUAUGUCUUUUUUUCCCCAAAGAUGUGCUUGCUGAAUGACACUGAUAUGAAUAAGA